rnacentral:rRNA from 1 species
UACGAAGGGGGCUAGCGUUGCUCGGGAAUCACUGGGCGUAAAGGGUGCGUAGGCGGGUCUUUAAGUCAGGGGUGAAAUCCUGGAGCUCAACUCCAGAACUGCCUUUGAUACUGAAGAUCUUGAGUUCGGGAGAGGUGAGUGGAACUGCGAGUGUAGAGGUGAAAUUCGUAGGUAUUCGCAAGAACACCAGUGGCGAAGGCGGCUCACUGGCCCGAUACUGACGCUGAGGCACGGAAAGCGUGGGGAGCAAACAGG